rfam:Providencia rettgeri strain MR4 P_rettgeri_contig_77, whole genome shotgun sequence.
GGUGAACCCGUGCACUACAGGGUCCAGUUGCAUAAAGCCCCGAAUUUCGGGGUUUUUUGUUAUUAGUCAAUAGAGAUACUGGGCGUUAUGCCCUUUUUUU